UUGAACACGUAGUUCCACAUCAAUUUUCAGAAAAAAACUUUGAGUAUUCUUGUUUCCUUAUGGCUUACUAAACUUUUUGCUUGCCACAAAAUAAGGCAAUUCACUUGCCGAAAAUGAAAACAGUUAGAGAGAGUAACUUGAGAGCUUAUUAAUGAUUUGACAUGAAGACAAGGAGGAGAGCCACCAUGAGAAGCCGCAAGGAGCAGUCGCAGAUAACCCCCUGCAGCAAAGAAUAAGGGAAUGAUCAGACCAAAGACAAGUCGAAGAGCUAAAUCAAAAUCCAAAAGAAGACGCAACCUAUAAUACUUGAAAUACGAUCCUUGUUAGUGAUGACAGAGAUCAAGGUAUUCGGCAGUACGUUGUACCCUUAUUCAGUAAACUCAAUCUAGGGAUUUUAAGACCCAAGAUUGAGGGCCCUCAGUUCUAGUUAAAGCAAGUAAUGUUCUAGAUGUUGCAAAUAAUGGGACAAUUCAGUGGGAUGCCUGCUGAAGAUCCACAUUUGCACCUACGCUUAUUUAUGGAAGUAAGCGAUUCUUUCAAGUUA